UGCAAGUCGAGGGAGAACGGGGGGCUUCGGUUCCCCUAGUAAACCGGCGCACGGGUGAGUAACACGUAGGUAACCUACCUUCGAGACUGGGAUAACCUAUCGAAAGAUGGGCUAAUACCGGAUAGGACCACGGGAGUUUCGGCUCCUGAGGUGAAAGAUGGCCUCUGCAUGCAAGCUAUCACUCGGGGAUGGGCCUGCGCGCCAUUAGCUAGUUGGUGAGGUAACGGCUCACCAAGGCUACGAUGGCUAGUUGGUCUGAGAGGAUGACCAGCCACACUGGGACUGAGACACGGCCCAGACUCCUACGGGAGGCAGCAGUGGGGAAUAUUGCGCAAUGGGGGAAACCCUGACGCAGCGACGCCGCGUGGGUGAUGAAGGCCUUCGGGUCGUAAAGUCCUGUCGGAGGGGAAGGGGGGGUGGGGGUGCGAAUAGUUCCGAAGUCUGACGGUACCCUUAAAGGAAGCACCGGCUAACUCCGUGCCAGCAGCCGCGGUAAUACGGAGGGUGCAAGCGUUGCUCGGAAUUACUGGGCGUAAAGCGCGUGUAGGCGGUCUCGUAUGUCUGGCGUGAAAGCCCCGGGCUCACCCCGGGAAGUGCGUUGGAAACUGCGAGACUGGAGUCCCGGAGAGGAAGGUGGAAUUCCAGGUGUAGCGGUGAAAUGCGUAGAUAUCUGGAAGAACACCGGUGGCGAAAGGCGGCC
rnacentral:rRNA from 1 species